UCUCAGAUCGUAUAAUGGUUAUUAUCCCCGCCUGUCACGCGGGAGACCAGGGUUCGAUUCCCUGUCUGAGAG